CUGAAUGAAUUUAACUUGCUCAGUUUAAGUUUUAUCUAUUGUAUAGGUCUGACCACCACCCUUAAGGACAAUAUUUAAGGAUGACCUUGUCUAUGUUUACAAAGAGCUGGAGUAUAGACAGAAAUUGUGUUAAAUCAGGAGAGGUAUAGAAGAUGGCCACAAAGUAGAAAGGCCCUAGGCUCAUCUCAUCAUGUAAACACAACCAGAUCCCUGUGAAGCACAGUUUUCACAGAAUGUUCCCAAGUCACCCUGUGUGUUCAUCUG